GAUGAACGCUGGCGGCGUGCCUAACACAUGCAAGUCGAGCGAACCCUUCGGGGUGAGCGGCGGACGGGUGAGUAACGCGUGGGUAACCUGCCCUAUACACACGGAUAACGUACCGAAAGGUACGCUAAUACGGGAUAAUAUUGUUGGAUGGCAUCUUCUAACAAUCAAAGCUCCGGCGGUAUAGGAUGGACCCGCGUCUGAUUAGCUAGUUGGUGAGGUAAUGGCUCACCAAGGCGACGAUCAGUAGCCGACCUGAGAGGGUGAUCGGCCACACUGGAACUGAGACACGGUCCAGACUCCUACGGGAGGCAGCAGUGGGGAAUAUUGCACAAUGGGCGAAAGCCUGAUGCAGCAACGCCGCGUGAGCGAUGAAGGUCUUCGGAUCGUAAAGCUCUGUCCUCAAGGAAGAUAAUGACGGUACUUGAGGAGGAAGCCCCGGCUAACUACGUGCCAGCAGCCGCAGUAA
rnacentral:rRNA from 1 species